rnacentral:rRNA from 1 species
UACGGGGGGGGGCAAGCGUUGUUCGGAAUUACUGGGCGUAAAGGGCGCGUAGGCGGCCUACUAAGUCGGACGUGAAAUCCCUCGGCUCAACCGGGGAACUGCGUCCGAUACUGGUGGGCUUGAAUCCGGGAGAGGGAUGUGGAAUUCCAGGUGUAGCGGUGAAAUGCGUAGAUAUCUGGAGGAACACCGGUGGCGAAGGCGGCAUCCUGGACCGGUAUUGACGCUGAUGCGCGAAAGCCAGGGGAGCAAACGGG